GUGGGGAAUAUUGGACAAUGGGGGAAACCCUGAUCCAGCCAUGCCGCGUGAAUGAUGAAGGCCUUCGGGUUGUAAAGUUCUUUUGGUGGGGACGAUGAUGACGGUACCCACAGAAUAAGCUCCGGCUAACUUCGUGCCAGCAGCCGCGGUAAUACGAAGGGAGCUAGCGUUGUUCGGAAUUACUGGGCGUAAAGGGCGCGUAGGCGGUUUGACAAGUUGGAUGUGAAAGCCCUGGGCUCAACCCGGGAAUUGCAUUCAAGACUGUCUUACUUGAAUUCGGUAGAGGUGAGUGGAAUUCCCAGUGUAGAGGUGAAAUUCGUAGAGAUUGGGAAGAACACCAGUGGCGAAGGCGGCUCACUGGACCGACAUUGACGCUGAGGCGCGAAAGCGUGGGGAUCAAACAGGAUUAGAUACCCGAGUAGUCC
rnacentral:rRNA from 1 species